GUGAGGUAACGGCUCACCAAGGCUACGACGGGUAGCUGGUCUGAGAGGAUGUCCAGCCACACUGGGACUGAGACACGGCCCAGACUCCUACGGGAGGCAGCAGUGGGGAAUCUUGCACAAUGGGCGAAAGCCUGAUGCAGCGACGCCGCGUGCGGGAUGACGGCCUUCGGGUUGUAAACCGCUUUCAGCAGGGACGAUAGUGACGGUACCUGCAGAAGAAGCACCGGCCAACUACGUGCCAGCAGCCGCGGUAAUACGUAGGGUGCAAGCGUUGUCCGGAAUUAUUGGGCGUAAAGAGCUCGUAGGUGGUCUGUUGCGUCGGCUGUGAAACCCCGAGGCUCAACCUCGGGCCUGCAGCCGAUACGGGCAGACUAGAGUUCGGCAGGGGAGACUGGAAUUCCUGGUGUAGCGGUGAAAUGCGCAGAUAUCAGGAGGAACACCGGUGGCGAAGGCGGGUCUCUGGGCCGAUACUGACACUGAGGAGCGAAAGCGUGGGGAGCGAACAGGAUUAGAUACCCUGGUAGUCCACGCUGUAAACGUUGGGCGCUAGGUGUGGGGGACCUCUCCGGUUCUCUGUGCCGCAGCUAACGCAUUAAGCG
rnacentral:rRNA from 1 species